UACGAAGGGGGCUAGCGUUGUUCGGAAUCACUGGGCGUAAAGGGCGCGUAGGCGGCUUUUCAAGUCGGGGGUGAAAGCCUGUGGCUCAACCACAGAAUUGCCUUCGAUACUGUCAGGCUAGAGCACGGUAGAGGCAGAUGGAAUUCCCGGUGUAGCGGUGGAAUGCGUAGAGAUCGGGAAGAACAUCAGUGGCGAAGGCGGUCUGCUGGGCCGUUGCUGACGCUGAGGCGCGACAGCGUGGGGAGCAAACAGG
rnacentral:rRNA from 1 species